rnacentral:tRNA from 1 species
GGGAGUGUGACAUAGCCGUUAGCGCGCUGGGUUCUUGUCCCAGAGGUUGUGGGGUCGAGUCCUGUUGCUCCUC